UACAGAGGGGGCAAGCGUUGUUCGGAAUUACUGGGCGUAAAGGGCGCGUAGGCGGCCUUCUAAGUCAUGCGUGAAAUCCCCGGGCUCAACCCGGGAACUGUGUCUGAUACUGGAAGGCUUGAAUCCGGGAGAGGGAUGCGGAAUUCCAGGUGUAGCGGUGAAAUGCGUAGAUAUCUGGAGGAACACCGGUGGCGAAGGCGGCAUCCUGGACCGGUAUUGACGCUGAGGCGCGAAAGCCAGGGGAGCAAACGGG
rnacentral:rRNA from 1 species